AUUGAACGCUGGCGGCAGGCCUAACACAUGCAAGUCGAGCGGCAGCGGGAAAGUAGCUUGCUACUUUUGCCGGCGAGCGGCGGACGGGUGAGUAAUGCCUGGGAAAUUGCCCAGUCGAGGGGGAUAACAGUUGGAAACGACUGCUAAUACCGCAUACGCCCUACGGGGGAAAGCAGGGGACCUUCGGGCCUUGCGCGAUUGGAUAUGCCCAGGUGGGAUUAGCUAGUUGGUGAGGUAAUGGCUCACCAAGGCGGCGAUCCCUAGCUGGUCUGGGAGGAUGAUCAGCCACACUGGAACUGAGACACGGUCCAGACUCCUACGGGAGGCAGCAGUGGGGAAUAUUGCACAAUGGGGGAAACCCUGAUGCAGCCAUGCCGCGUGUGUGAAGAAGGCCUUCGGGUUGUAAAGCACUUUCAGCGAGGAGGAAAGGUUGUUGGCUAAUAUCCAACAGCUGUGACGUUACUCGCAGAAGAAGCACCGGCUAACUCCGUGCCAGCCGCCGCUGUAACAC
rnacentral:rRNA from 1 species